rnacentral:lncRNA from 1 species
GGGGAGGAUUGUGCCUGAUAUUCAUAUGAUGAAGACAUAUUUUUCAAUCAGUUUGAUUGAGGUCCGGAGCUGGCAUGUCAGUUAACUGCUAGUAGUCUGAUGUUAUUUAUGUAUUAUUGUGAUUUUGUUUAUUUUCUUUGGUUACAUCUUCUGACAUCAGACUCGGACUACUUCUCUUGAACUGAAUUUUAAUGUGCGUAUUGUUAUGCGUU